CGUAGGGGGCAAGCGUUGUCCGGAUUUACUGGGCGUAAAGAGCGCGUAGGCGGUCGUUUAAGUGUGGCCUGAAAGCCCCCGGCUCAACCGGGGAUCCGGGUUGCAAACUGGACGUCUUGAGGGGGAUAGGGGAAGGUGGAAUUCCUGGUGUAGCGGUGAAAUGCGUAGAGAUCAGGAGGAACACCCGUGGCGAAGGCGGCCUUCUGGGUCCGCCCUGACGCUGAGGCGCGAAAGCGUGGGGAGCGAACGGGAUUAGAUACCCCGGUAGUCCACGCCGUAAACGAUGAUUACUAGGUGUGUGUGGUAUCGACCCCACACGUGCCGCAGCUAACGCAAUAAGUAAUCCGCCUGGGGAGUACGGCCGCAAGGUUG
rnacentral:rRNA from 1 species